UACGUAGGGUGCGAGCGUUAAUCGGAAUUACUGGGCGUAAAGCGUGCGCAGGCGGCGCGUUAAGACAGGUGUGAAAGCCCCCGAGCUUAACUUGGGAAUUGCGCUUGUGACUGGCGAGCUGGAGUGUGGCAGAGGGAGGUGGAAUUCCACGUGUAGCAGUGAAAUGCGUAGAGAGUGUGGAGGAACACCGAUGGCGAAGGCAGCCUCCUGGGCCAGCACUGACGCUCAUGCACGAAAGCGUGGGGAGCAAACAGG
rnacentral:rRNA from 1 species